rnacentral:misc_RNA from 1 species
AAGUCGUAACAAGGUUUCCGUAGGUGAACCUGCGGAAGGAUCAUUAUCGAGUUAGGGUCUUCAUGGCCUGACCUCCAACCCUGUGUUUAUUAUACCACGUUGCUUCGGCGGGUCCGUCUUUUAUCGGACCGCCGGGGGGUCGCGAGACUUCCUGGCCCCGCGCCCGCCCGAUCGGCCCCCAAUGAAAACCCAUCAUGUUAUAACCAAUCGUUUUGGUUCUGAGGUUUCCUUUAAAAUUAAAAUUAAAACAAAA